UUGGGAGGUCGGGAGAUUGUGGU
rnacentral:piRNA from 1 species